rnacentral:lncRNA from 1 species
AAACCGUAGGUUCUGAAACUCACCGGAAUAAGAUCACAGACGUCGGAAAGUUACCCAAAACGUCUAUCAAGCGAAGACAAAGUCAUCAGAUAACACCAAAGCUCUAGGUCCGAAAGUCGGAAAACCCUAGAAUUUGAAGAACUCGUCGGAAUAAAACCAGGGAUGCCGGAAUAUUACCCAAAACACCCGCUGAUACAAGAUCGGAACCCAGAAUAACAGGAAAAUUUCGAUUAUCCGCUCAACAUUCUUUGAAACAUCUGCGAACAUUAUCGCUCACCGGUAACCAUAAAAAAAACUUCAGUAAAAACUUCAAACGAGAUCGAUAACACGCAACCGAGAAGGAUCCGAAGAUCAUCCGGCUCUGAUACCAUGAAAACGUAUAGAUUUGAAGGAAAAAUGACGAAGAACAUAAUGAGAGAAAGAGAGUAGGUGAAGGAACUCUCUGGAAGAACCGAGAGAAAAAUGAAUCGAUUAACCCAAAAUAUCUCUGCCCCUAUACAAAUCAGAAAGAGAGUAGGUGAGGAACUCUCUGGAAGAACC